AGCGAACGCUGGCGGCAGGCUUAACACAUGCAAGUCGAGCGGGCGUAGCAAUACGUCAGCGGCAGACGGGUGAGUAACGCGUGGGAACAUACCUUUUGGUUCGGAACAACACAGGGAAACUUGUGCUAAUACCGGAUAAGCCCUUACGGGGAAAGAUUUAUCGCCGAAAGAUUGGCCCGCGUCUGAUUAGCUAGUUGGUGAGGUAAUGGCUCACCAAGGCGACGAUCAGUAGCUGGUCUGAGAGGAUGAUCAGCCACAUUGGGACUGAGACACGGCCCAAACUCCUACGGGAGGCAGCAGUGGGGAAUAUUGGACAAUGGGCGCAAGCCUGAUCCAGCCAUGCCGCGUGAGUGAUGAAGGCCCUAGGGUUGUAAAGCUCUUUUGUGCGGGAAGAUAAUGACGGUACCGCAAGAAUAAG
rnacentral:rRNA from 2 species